GACGAACGCUGGCGGCGUGCUUAACACAUGCAAGUCGAACGGAAAGGCCCUGCUUUUGUGGGGUGCUCGAGUGGCGAACGGGUGAGUAACACGUGGGUAACCUGCCCUUGACUUUGGGAUAACUUCAGGAAACUGGGUCUCAUACCGGCUAGGAGCUCCUGCUUCAUGGUGGGGGUUGGAAAGUUUCGGCGGUUGGGGGUGGACUCGCGGCUUAUCAGAUUGUUGGUGGGGUAGUGGCUUACCAAGGCUUUGACGGGUAGCCGGCCUGAGAGGGGGACCGGCUACACUGGGCCGGAGAUACGGCACAGACUCCUAUGGGAGGCAGCGGUGGGGAAUAGUGCAUAAUGGGCGGAAGCCUGAUGCAGCAAAGCCGCGUGCGGGAUGACGGCAUUCGGGUUGUAAACCGCUUUCGCCUGUGACGAAGCGUGAGUGACGGUAACGGGUAAAGAAGCACCGGCUAACUACGUG
rnacentral:rRNA from 1 species